rnacentral:lncRNA from 1 species
UUGGUUUGUAAUAGUAACCUUUCAUUGCUUUUCUUAGGUUUAUAGUAUUGGAUUCUCCUUUUGAAUUGUAUUGAGUUUACUUUUGUUUCGAAAAACACUAAAGUCGUCAGCUGAUUCUCCUAAGUCCUUUUUGUGAUCGGACAAAAGUGCCAAACAUGUAUUGCAUCGGUAGGGCACAGCUGGAUCCUCAUAUACUUGAAAUUCACUGAUGACCUUCUUUUGAAAUUGGAAUAGGUUGCUUACUAAGAAAUAGAUUAAUAAGGUUUUUCUUCGGCAGAUGACUCCAAUAUGACUGCAGUUGAUUAUUGUAACAAGAUUGACUUCUGAAGUGCUACUAAGGCUUAAAAAUCAAUUAGUUCUUAGAAAUUCUCAAAAUAGUAGGAAGAAGGCACGACAUUACCCAAUGGUUGUUUGUCAUUCUGAUUUAGCUUUAUGCUUUGCUUCUAGAAUAAGAGGGAAGAGGCAAAAGGUCAUUCUGAAAAAUGCCAUUUCUAUGGUGCCAUUUAUAAAGCAUGCAAGCAAAAACGUAGGGGGCAAGAGAAACUUUGCGGACAUUUGUUUCUUGGUUAUUUUUCGGUUGGACUGAUUUAUCUCUUUACUAGCUAUAUAUGUGUUAAAGUUUAAACUGAGUGGUUUGGGCAGCUUGCAAAUAUUUGUCCAUGUUAGUUUGUAAUGAGAAAAUGAUCUUGAAAAGCCUUUAGUGAACAUGGAAACUUGAGCUCAGAACAAAUAUCACGUGGGCAGCAAACCCUGUGCAAUUGGAAAACAUUAGGCGUUCCUCCUUGUUGCAAUACUUGGAGAUUCCAGUUCAGUUGCUGCAAUUGGACAAUAGAAUUUAUAAUAGUGAAAACCAAGGAUUCAUUUCAUUUAAAAAUGUGUUCUCUAAUCUUUAUGCUCAGUUAUCCGAGCCAACUCUUCAUCUAUAUAAUUGUGAUGGUGAUUGCAGCCCCAUGGUAUUGCUUGUGGGGAGAAUAUUAUCAAGGAAUGUGAAGAGGAAGCGGGAAUCCCUAGAUCCAUAUCCAAUAGGUAAGAUUUCCUCAUGCCACAUUGAUUCUAAAUUUUAGGAUUAAUUGUAUUAACUAUAUUAUAUUGGCUAAAAAUGUGAACUUUGCUAAAGUUCCACUCCACAUGUCAACAUUCUGAUUAAACCAUGCUUCUUUUGUGGAUGAUUGGUUGUACUAAUGGGUCCAGAUAUACAUCUUUCACAGAGCUAGACCAGUGGGAGCUGUUUCCUAUACGGACAUUAAUGGGUUUAGUUACAAAAGAGAUGUUCUAUUUUGUUAUGAUUUGAAGCUACCUGAAGAUUUUGUUCCUAUGAAUCAAGGUAACUGUAUUAAAGCUUGAUCACACUGACGCUCAUUUUCUUCCUUCGUGAGAACAAGGUAUAAAAGCAAUGUUUCUUGAUCUACAAACUAAUUUUAGCAUUCCUACUGUUAAAUAUUUGUACAUUUCAAUCUAUAACAUACAUCUGCUGCAGUUUUAGAAGAGAAUUAUAUCUAUUCAUUGUAAUAGCUUUUAUUAAACAUGUUGCAGACGGAGAGGUAGAAAGCUUCCAGUUGAUCCCUGUGGCACAUGUUGCAAAUGUCAUACGGAGAACAGAGUUCUUCAAGCCAAAUUGCUCCCUAGCCAUCAUUGAUUUCUUGUUUCGACAUGGGUAUUAGCACUUUUCUUGAUUGCUUCUUGUAUCUCUCUCAGUUUGAGACUUUCAGUAAUCAGUUAAAAAGAUUAAAAUAAAGAAAGAAAUAAAACUAGCAUAUGUGACAGCCGUAUGAAAAAUAAAUAAAUAAAUAGAAAGCAUAAUCACUUCUUUCUUUCUUUUUUAAUUAACUGUCAAGUUGUGGCAAUGGUUGCUACUUUUCUUAUGAUAGUGGACUCUCCUGCCCAGUAGAAAUGAUAAAAGCAAUGGUGUGUAAUUGUAAUGAAUCUUAAAUAUUUGCUCUCCACUACUGAUAUUCCCAUGUGUUUCUCUUUAGUUUUAGGAAUCUUUUAGAUGUCUUUGGGUUUUCUUUUUCAUGAUUUCAUACAUUUAUCAUUUAUGCUGAUUAAAAUUGUUACAUAUUAGGCUUGGCAAAUUGCUCCAGGAUUUUAUUUCUGACACUCAUAUGCACUUCCAACAAUUUCAAUGAAUCUCGAGAUAUCUCUUUGAUUUUUCUUGUAAUGUCCAUACAUUGAUGCUGGUUGAUAUUAGAUAUAUUUGAUGGGAUUCAUGCUCAAAAGGCGUUGUUGUAGUUCCUUUGCUAUUAUGAAAAAUUCAGCUAUAGCAUAUCAAUCCAUCCCAGUUUGAUUCUAAUCUUUUACCAUAAUGCUGCAACUUGUAGGUACAUUCGUCCUGAAUAUUUUGGAUACUUGGAUCUACUACAGAGUUUGAGAAGGGGAGACUUCUCCUAAUUAUUUGUCUUCGUGCCUGUCUUUUUUUUUUUUUUUUAAUCCUCCAAAUAAAUUGGAUUGACUGAAUGACAACUGGUGUUAAUUAAAAGCUUUAUUUUCCUGUCGCGAAAGAUAUAAUUUGGGCAUUACACGAAUUGGUUUUAAGAUAUAGCUUCGUGCGCAAAGAUUGAGAUAUGGUGAAAUCAUAGUUCUUAAAAUGAGACUUCUGAAUGAAACUAAACACAUAAUAUGUAAUUUAGGGUUAAAAAAAAAAAAAAAAACUGGAAUUUACCCCGGCUAUACCCGGAAUCUUGGCUAUUAAUCUAGUUAUGCCCUCGUACUUCGAAAUUAUCAUAAUAUGCCUUUAGAGAUGAGUAAUGUCUAAAUUACCCUCAAAUAUCUCCAAUUACAGACGCGUUGCUGAGUACUCAACUGGCCUCGUUCUUCUCCUUCAUGAGAUUUGUUCAUCCUCCACUUUGUCAUUGAAUUUCUUCUCCGUUGGCCGCAAUAGCUUCAUCGAGAUUACCCUUAUCAACCAGAAUAAUUUCUCUCUUGUUGGUGGUGACCUAAACAAUUAAGUAUAGGUCAUAGUUAUGACGAAAAUGAAGGGCCAGAAUUCACAUGAAUUAUGCUUAAUUACCAUGGCUGCUAACUAGGCCAAAAUUAUCAUGACAAGAUCAACAGAAAGAUAAACAUAGAAGAACUGUCAGAUGCGCAAUGUUAUAUGUGUCAUUCCAUGUACCUGAAAGAUGAUUGCUUAUUCAUAAAAAAUUGUCCAAAUAGAAAAUGCAAAAAUUGAAGAAUCCCAACCUAAUCUGGUAUUAGCCAUUGUGCCCACCAAUUAGACUUACAUCUGAAUGAUGCUCAGAUUUAUCACUAUAAAUACCAAAGCUUACAGAAUCUUGAAUGCUUAAGUGAUAACCAGUAGGCUUUUUUUUUUUUUUCUCUUUUUAAUAAGAAUUACCAUAUGUUUGCUUUAUAUAUUGCCUUGGGAUGAUAAUGUCCAUCAACAAAUUGAUAUCCAGUUCCAUCCAUAUGGACAUGUAGAUCUUCUUACUCUGUACCAGAAUAUCUGUGGAAAGUAAGUAGAAUAAAUUCAAGACCCAAAGUUUUACUCUCUAGGCUCUGGUUUGGUUAAGUCAUAUAAUUUUCGGAGAAUACCACAUGUACCAAAAGCAACCCUGUCAAGUAAACUCCUCUAUUUACAUUUCAAUGAAACCACAUAAUUGAUCUAUACAGGGAAAACUGAUAGAAUUACCUCUGCUGUGCAGGAAAAUAAUAAAGAAGACGGCCUUUGUGACACCGGGAGCGAAGAAGUAUUUGUUCAAGGCCCUCAUUCUCUUUCAUUUUCAUUCCUUUACAUACUGCUCAAGAGCUCAUAAAAAAUAUUGUAAGGGUCUUAUUCAGCCACAUAUACAUAAAUAAUUCUAGAUUGUGAAAAAGUUGAAACUAUUUACUUUUAAGGAAUGAAGCAUGCAUCGACAAUGUAGUUAGUUGAGACUCAUGAAUCCUCAUUUUAAAUCCAGUGAGAAACAUUUCCCAAAACUAAGAAAAUUAUUUUUCUACUUCCAAGAAAUCCUUUGAAUACUUCUACAGAAUGAUAAGUAUUUUUCAGGGCAAAAAGACAUGCACCCAUAGUCAGCUGUUAGUAUAACAUAUCUAAAAUAGAGCCUAGAAAUCACAAUAAUCAUUUCCAAUGUAUGUAAAAGCCACAGUGUCAUGCCUAAGGAAGUACCAUUUUGGUCGCAGUCAUAUGCCAACAUCAACCCGACAUCUACAAUCAGCUUUCCAAGGGCUUUGAAAGCUAGACACCAACAAUUAACCUUCAGUAAAUGUAGAAAAUAAUUGAAAAGUGAAUUUGAAAAAUAAAUAAAUGAAUAAAAAAUCCAACAUAGACGAAAACUGUGAAAGGAACACAAGAAGAUGAGAGUGGAAGACAAGUGUAGCACCAAACAAGAAUUUCACUCCCACUUAUAGCUUCAUUUUCGAAAAAAUUGGCGGAGACUCGUACCAAAAGAUUAGAUUACUCUGAAAAUAUGCUCAUAUAAAGGAAAAAUAACGAAACCAAUAUCUGCUUCAAAAAUCGGCUGAAACUACUGUCAGUUUAAAACAACUAUUCCGAUAUAGAAUAGAAGUUGACAAUGUAAAAAAAGUGUAGACUGCAUACAAAGAAGUUUCUUCCCGGCAGUACACACUUGCGCUCACACAAAGACACAAAAAUAGAGAAGCAUAAAUUUGUUUAACUGUUUAAAUACAAGCUCUCAGAUCAUGAAUCCAAGAAAUCACAUAACUAUGAUAAACAAACCUCUCAAGAGACAAUUUCCAGCAAGCAGAACAAGUCUCUCUUAAAAGCCAAUGAAGGAAUAGAGUAAUAUUUUGUGAGAAUACCCACUCAAGUUCUGGCAGUGCACUAUGAGGCCAUAUAUUCGAACCACAAUAUGAUGGAUACCUAAAAGACAGACAACGAGAAAUAAAUAAAGCAACUAACCACAUCAAGAUUUUGCAUAUCUAAUCUAAAUAUGAGCAAAUGAACAUAGGAUGUAUAUAACACAUAUCUUUCAAAAGUAAAAAAUUCAUCCCAGCAAAUAUAUUAUAGUCUUCCAAAGAAUGUAUCAUAUGAAGAUAGAUAUAACACAAAUUUUUGUUAUCCACUUUAUCCACACACUAACAAUCAAUUUUGCCUGCCAUAAAAUCUCCAGGAACAAGGGAAUGACAGUCAACAGUACGAGCACUUGAAAUGCUGUUAAUAUCUUUUACAUUUUUAUUAAAUGGGUCUCUGUUGUAGGCACGUCUAACAAUGGAUUCGCAUAGAAGGAGCCCUUCAACAUAUCUGCACAAGAUUAGAAUUAAAAAGGUUAAGACCCUACUAGCGGGCAUAAACUGACAUGAGAAAUAUAAAAAAUAAUCAUACUAAGGCAUAGAACACCAACACUUCCUAAUAAUACGUAUCAACAUGAACCAUAUCCGAAGGUAAACAAAGAUAAUAUUGCAUUAUAACUGCAGUCUUGUCUAGCUGCCAGUGUUCAAUCCAUUUUAUGUUUCAAAAUUCCUCAAAACUUCAAAUGACUCCAUCCCUCCAUGUCCAAACAUAGGAACUCCCACUCUAUUCAAUCAUUUACAUAAAUAUCAUGGGAACGUGAAUUCUGAAAAAUAUACAGACUGCUCAUAUUAUGCCGUAUUUUAUUGAUUGCAAUAAUCACACAACAGGUGAAAUAUCUGAAAAUUGAAAUCAGCUUGGCCUGUGUUAGAACAAGAUGACCAAACUCAAGAACCUACAUCCGAAGUUUUACCUACAGACAGAGAGUGAGCGGAAGAAACAAAGAGUUAAAGCACCUCAUAUACUGUGAGAUUAUGAACUCGGAAAUAUAUUUCAAUUCCAAUGCAAGAAUACCACGCCUUCCACAAACAAAAUCACCAGAAAAAAGGUUCUAGUUGUUUUCAACUGAUUUUGGGGUAAGAAAAACCAAACCAAUCUAGAACAAUAAAUUUGUUAUUUUGAGGGGAGAUGGGGUACCUCACUGGUUUAUUGUGUGUUGGGCGGUGUAUCUGAAAUUCGUGGGAGGUGAGAAGGGGAGAGAGAGUGGUAACAAUGGUGGAAGGUCAGAAACAAGAGAUGUGUCCUUCAAAACGAGCUUCACGCCUGCAAAACAGUGAAAUAGAGGUUAGAGGUGAAGCCGGGGUACCCCGGCGUUCACACUUCGACGCUCAAGUUAGCAAACUCAAGCUUUUAUGGCAAAGAGAGCUAGCUAGCCCUCUGUAAAUUAGGGUUUAAGGUUGAAGAAAACCUAUUUUUUGGAAUGUGAGUGUUCAUGGUGAGUGAGAACAUCCUGGAGAAUGAAACAUAGGCACCUUUAUAUAUGGAGUACCUCAGCUGCCACGUGGCGUAUCCUUUUUGGCUAACGUCCUUUUACCUUUUUAUGAUUUUUGGGCCGUUAUGUGCAUGUUCGCGGCAUAUCUCACCCUUUGGAAACGUGGCGCGCGCUGGAGAGUGGUCCAGGGUACCUCUGCAGUAACUGUCGGGUAGGCGGCUGAGGACCACUGUCCUUGGGACAGUGUCCUUCACUUUUGGCAGAGGUAGCAGGCGGCUGUCCCCCCCUUUUGGUACGACGUUCUUGAUUCCUAAUUCUGACAAAAUCGAAUAAUAUCUUUUAGGAGGUGGAGACGUUUCUCAUGGCGGAUAUUUUCGGAGGAUUCUCUUGCAUCUGAUCUGCCGGGUACCUCGAGUUACGUGGGGUACCUCAAUUUAUGUGGGGUACCCUUAAUUGUGCGGGGUACCUCUAUUUGUGUGGGGUACCUCGUAUCAUGUGGGGUACCUCUAUUUGUGCGGGGUACCUCUAAUCAAGCAGGGUACUUUUAAUUACGUCGGGUACCUCUAAUUGCGCGGGGUACCUCUAAUCAGGCCGGGUACCUCUAAUCAUGCGGGGUACCUCUAAUCAGGCCGGGUACCUCUAAUCACGCAGAGUACCUCUAAUCAUGCGGGGUACCUCUAAUCAAGCCGGGUACCUCUAAUUACGCCGGGUACCUCUAAUCAUGCGGGGUACCUCUAAUCAGGCCGGGUACCUCGAAUUAUACGGGGUAUCCCAGUCUAUGCGGGGUACCUCGAGUUACUCUGGAGUUAUGCGGGGUACCUCUGACCGUGUCAGGUACCUCAAAUCAUGGCAGGUACCUCUAAUCGUGCGGGGUACCUCUAAUCAUGUCGGGUACCUCGGAUUGCACUGAAGUUAUUCCAUUCGUCGACACGUGGCGUUCUGCUAUCUUUCUUAUUUUUCCCCCAAACACUAGUUAUUGAUGAUAAACACAGUACUUCCACGGGCUGCAGGCCAUGCUAAGUAUUGCUGUUAACAGCUUUAGGUAGGAUUUAAGGAAAAUAUACUGUUUACUUUUUUCAUCAAAUAGAAAAUAUGGGACAUGACCAUAUGAGGAAAGAGAUACUUGGGUAAGGCCAUGCUAAUCAUCUAUGCGAUCAAAAGACCUAACGAUCACAGAGGAUAAAUGGCUAAACUCCAUCACCUGAGUUAAGUAGCAUAUGAUGCACUCACGAGGAGGACAUAACCAUGUGAAGACAACAUUAUUCUACUGGUAUGGCUAUCAAGGUUGGUGAGUAGAACUCUGAAUGGCAUUAUCAUAUGUGUCAGGACCUUCUGGAAUCAAUAAAGAGUUCAACUGACAUAAUACCUUUCGAGUAAGAAAUGAAAUCGUUAAGUACCAAUAAGGUGAAAGUUUAUCUUUUCAAAACAAGUCUAAGGAACCCAAUUGGUAUAAAGGGAAUAUAGAUAUAAUAAGAUCCUUCCCACAUAAGCCUAGAGCUAUCCAGAGCAAUUUAACAAACCUCUAUGCUAAGUGGAGGCCAAAGACACAUCCAAAGCAACCAAAAUAAGCCAUCAAAGGGAAUAAAGUAAAUAAAAGAAGAUGAACAGUGAAAUCAAACAACAAUACAGGAGCUAGGGGAAAGUAGAAUCAGACCUACUGUGAUGAUCUUCAAGAUCCUUCUUCACAUCUUCAGGAAGGUUAGCUAAUCUGAUAAAACAGAAUCUUGUGAACAACUUAUGUAAAAGUUACUUGUCCUAAAUAAUAUCUACCCGCAAGCUCAACCUGAGCAUUGAAAAUCUAGUUCGAAUCUUAUACCUAGGUGCAAGAUGCAGGAGAUUUUGACGCAGUGAAGAAAAUCCAGGAACCUAAAACAAAAACAGGUCAACUUCAAACAGGUAAUACAAGCAUAUUGAAAGCAAAAUGACUGACUAAUUCCUGAACAAAGACACUAGUUGUCCAAAUUUCAAAUGUAAAGACACAUACAAAAUACAUAAAUAUAGAGGGGGAACAAAAAGAGUUUCAAAAAUGGGAAGGGGACUUCAUCAAACUUGCUACUCCAUUUUGUGUUACACAUUGCCACAGGUUUCAUCAUAUUCAAAAGUUAUACUCGUUAUACCAUACUUGGCAAUGAAACUAUACAAAGCCAAUGGGCAUCUCAGUUCCGAUUAUGUACUUAAAGUUCACAUGUCCACAAAAACUUGGGCAUUGUGGAUGGUUGUUCGCCAGUCAUAACUUUGAAGUUGGGUAAAGACAAACUGGUAAGAGUAAUAUAAAUUUUUCAUCAAACAGCUGUGGGUUAAAAUCAACUUAGCUUUCAAAAGUCAGAAGAAAAUUGAAAUGUUUACCAGAAACUAAAGCUACUUUGCUUUGAAAGCACAGCUGUUAAACAACAAUACCAAACGGGGCCUUAAAUGACCUAUUAAUCUUCCAAUGUUCUUUCACAAGUUAACACAGAGUGACAAUAAUUGUCAGGAUAUAUCAAAUUCAGGUAUCGCUAUAAUGAUAUUCCGCUUAAAUUUCAGUAUCAGUUAUUUGUCAGCCAAACAGAACAUUGAAAGACUAAAAUAUGAUCAAGUAUAUACAUAUGUGCAAGUGCAACAAAAUGGACAAAUAUAUAUGAAAAGAAAAAAAUAGAAAAUUCAACUGCAAAAUUUAUUUCAUACGUCUGUAACAGAUAGAAUUCCGAGACCGUUGGGUCCAAACCCUUGUUCAAUCUUCAUCGACAAGUCAGCAUUCUUGUCCUGUUUCAAUCAAUUCAAACAACCGCCAGUAAAUUUCAAACACGUGUGUUUCACACUAGCAUACGCAGCAAGACUUUGAGAACUAACGUCCGAAGGUGAGUUGCGUAAGUCGUUUCGUUCCUAUUCGCCGUCGUUCCCGCUAAACAUUACAAAUUUAUAAUUCCCCGCAAUUAAAAUUACAAAAAAAUAUUCACAAAAAGACAAGAAAAAAGUGAUUUAUACAGUUAAAGCUAUUAUUUUAAUAUAAAAACCAUCAUCUAAUUCCCUAACUUUUCUUCUUUUAGUGUAAUACCAAAAAAAUAUAAAUUUCGGAUUAUCCUGGAUUACGUUUAAGUUACCUUUUACAUUUAAAAGCUUUAAAUUAUUUUACUUUUUGUUUUAAAAAUAAAGAGCAAAUAAUUGUAUAUUGACAAAAAUUAUUUUGUCUUCUUAACAAAAAGUAUGCCAUAUUUAGAUUUAAAAGUAAAUAAGCGAUUUAAAAAUAGCAAUUUUAAUAUAAUAAUUCUUUUAUUCAUUAAACGAGAGAAAUUUCAGCUUGACUCCUCGUGUCUGUUUUGCUAAUUUACGAUCUUUACUAGUUGAACUAAUUAGUAGAAUGGCAAUGUGUGUCACCAUAUAAAAAUGAAAUAAAUUUUUGGGUUAUUAUCAUUUUACUACUUUAAAAAUUGUCAAAUAUCAAAUGAUUAUAACAAAUAUUGUCUCCUAUCAUUUUCCUACUAUAUCUUUAUAAAAAUAUCAUUUUACUACUUUUUCGUUACAACAAAUAUCAUUUUACUACUUUUCCGUUACAACCGUUAGUUGACUCGUUAGUUUACCAGUUAGUUGACUAACAAAAUACUAAUUUUACCUUUCAUGAUUAAAAAUAAUAAUAAGACAAAUUUGUAAUCCAUAUAUCAUAAUUCCAUAAAAAAGAAUUAUGUUGGUAUUAUAUAUUCAUUUUAAUAAAUAUAUUACAAAUUUAUUUUGUAAAUAAGUUUCAAGUAUUUUUUUUUUUAAUCAUGAAAGGUGAAAUUGGUAUUUUGUUAGUCAACUAACUGGUCAACUAACGGUUAUAACAAAAAAAGUAGCAAAAUGAUAUUUUUAUAAAGAUAUAGUAGGAAAAAUGAUAGGAGAUAAUACUUGUUUUAGUCAUUUGAUAUUUGACAAUUUUUUAAGUAGUGAAAUGAUAAUAACCCUAAAUUUUUUUAUGAUUGAAUUGAUAUAAUCUGACUUAUUAAUAAUCUUAUAUUUAAUAUUAUUUGUGUUGAAUUGUUUAUUGGUGUCAUAUAUGUUUUCUCAAUUCAUUUUAUAACCAAUUUAACAAUAAUUUUGAUAUAUUUAUUAUGUAUUAAAUUCAUCUUUAUUUUUUAGUAGAAAAAUGACCGAACAACUUUUUAGCCUCUUUUUCCUUAGCUUUUAGUUAUUUGAUUCCUAAAAAAAUAGGCGUAAAUGUUAUAUUUUGAUUCUACCCAUCCCUAGGUUUUUCUUUCUUAUUAAGGGGCAAAACUAUCUUACCCCCGAUGCAACGAACACCAUUUUGGUAUUUUCUUUAGCAGUCCCUAUAGUUUUCUGUAAAUAAUAAAAACUAUAAGUUUUAAAAAUUUUAUACAAUAAGCCCCAAUUAAAAUAUAAUAAUUUCAAAAUUCUAAACAAUUUAUUGGGCAUUUUCUUCAACAAUCCCUAUUGCUUUCUGUAAAUAAUAAAAACUAUAAUUUUUAAUAAUUUUAUGUAAUAAACCCAAUUAAAAUAUAAUAACUUUAAAAUUCUAAAAAAAAUUAUCUCUCUAUCUCCUUCUCAAUCAAUUUUAAAUUUAAUUUUCAUUCUUUAUAAUUUUAAAUUUAAGUAAUAGAAUAAAUAUUAUAUAAUUUAUUUGUUUUUAUAUUAAAUAAACAAUUGAUCGGCUUCAUACGUGGGAUAAAGUAUAAGUAAUUUUACAUAAUCUCAAAUUUACUCAUAGAAAUUUAUUAUUUUGAAAAUAUUAUUUAUAAACUCUAUAAUGAAUUUAAAUGACUAUCCAAGCAUUUAUUUAAUAUUUAUUUAUUUUUCAUUUUAAUAUUGUCAAAAUUUAUAUAAACCUUAUCUAAUUUUAUGUUACACUAAAUACAAAAUAGUAUUAUUAAAUAUAAUUGGUAUUUUAAGUAAAUGGAAGUGGAGAGUAUUUUAGCAAGUUAAAAUAAUCCAUCCAUAUUUUUAAUAUAUAAAUAUGUUCAUUUAUUGAAUUACUUUUGAUAAUAAAAUAUUUAACGGACCAAUGUGUCAAAAUUUUAAAAUUUAAUCUUUUCUUAUUCUUUUAGUAAACAUAAGGGACCACAUCGUUAAUAACCAAAUGAUAACAUCUUAGCCAUUAGAAUAGCCUUUGCAACUCAUGGGUUGGAUCCAAUAAUUGGAUCACAAAAAGACAAAAAAAAAAAAGGUAUGAAACAGCAGUUGUAUUGUAGCCGAACCCUAACUUAAGCAUAUAUUGAAAGUCGAAUUGAACUCUAAGACUAAGACCUUUUUUUUUUUAGGAGAACUAUUGCUCAUGAUAUCUACAACCAUACAAAUUACUGAGAUCAGUUUAUAUGAACUUUAAUAUGACACCGCUCAGAUUUUCUUAACCCUCUUAAAUAUUCGAGGGACGUCCAACUCCCCUCCUGAGAGAAAAAUUAUCUUCACUCAAGCUCUGGAGUUCCAAGGAAAGAUAUUUAAAUUAAACUCCUGCAAUACAUCCGCGGGGGCUCGAAGCACUUCCCUCACACUUGUGAGGGAGUGACUCUAACCACUUGGGCCAAGUCCUAGUGGUUCUAAGACUAAGGUGGCGUUUGUUUUUUCGUCUGAAAUCUGAAUAGACCUGAAUUAGUCUGAAUUCUGAAUAGGUCUGAAUGUCUGAAUCUGAAUAAUAUGUUUGUUUUUUCGUCUGAAUCUCGGAAAAUAAGUAUUAAGUUGUUUGUUUUUUUCAACUUAAAAAGCUGAAAAUAUGUACUUUUACAUUUGUAUCCUUAUUAAAUUUGAAUGUCAAAUAAAUAAUAUAUUAAAUACCAUAAUAUUUUAACAUUUAUAAGUAAAACUAUAUUCAAGUGAAUACAUAAUUAUUUUGGAAUUUUAAUAUAUAAAAUACCAUAAAUUUCAAAUUUUAUUGUAUAUAAUAUAAGAAAGAAAAAAUAGGGAUAUUUUUAUGUGAGGUAAAUAUCUAUGGGUGAGUUUUGGGAUAGACAUGAAAAAUAAAUUAUAAAACAGGGAUAUUUUUGACAUUAGCAAGCAAUUGACUUAAUUCAUAUUUCUCCAUUAAGUAAAAAGCCAAAAAAAUUAGCUUAUUUUAUUAAGUCAAAAUUAUCUAAAAAGUCUCAUUAAGUUAUAAAAACAAACACCUCUAAUUAACUUAAUUAAUUAAGUUAAGUCACUUUAAGUCAUUAAGUUAAAAAACAAACACCACCUAAGACUUUAAAUCUUAGGAAAACAACUUUUUAUGCGCAUACUCAACCCUACAUUUUAAAAAGCACAACUAUACACAUUUAAAAAAAAAAACAUUAACCAUUAAUACUAAAUCUCAGUGACAUAUACGAUCAAGGAAGAAAAAUGAUGGGAUGUGAUUAUAUGAACAGUUGAACAUGUUCAUAAUUGACAUGAUCUGUGUCAUUCAUUUAUAUUUUAUUGCUUUCUACUAUAAUAUGGUUGAUGCUACAAUGCCGGGCACUGAAGGCCCGGCACCAUGCCAAAAAUGAAAAAAACCAUUGGAUUCAAUCUAAUUGAAUCCAACGGUUGAGAUUAAAUUUAUAUUAAAAAUAGAAAAAAAAUGGGUGACCUAGUAAACCAGUUCCCUGAAAGGAAAAUCCCACAAUUUCCUCUCACUUCAAUCCGAUUUCUUUGCUUUCUCAAAAGAAAAAUCCCUAAAAUUUCAUCUCUUUUUCAAGUUCAUAGUUUCUCUCAUCCCAAUUUUUUCACUCAACAAGAUCAAAUCCACGGUCUCUCUCCACUAAUCAACCAAUCGGAUCCAUCUACUCACGUAUUUUGUUUGUAUACGAGAGGUAGAGAGAGGCAGAGGCAGAGCCAAAUAUCGCGCGUUGCUUCUUUUCCAACCGUCCACUGUUACCUUCGUUGCAAUGUUGUCUACAACAUGAACUGCCAUCGAAUGAGCUGCAUGAAGCUUUUAGGGUGGCGUAUCCUGGAAUGGAACCAAAAAAAGAGUUGAGGUUUAUGUUUGGAGUCAUUCUUGGACAGGAAGAACAGCGCGAAUGAGUUGCAGGAAGAGCAGUUUGGCUCGAGGUAACUCUUCUGUUCUCGUCAUGUAAAUGACCUAGUGUUGUGAUGCGUACUAGUAAGCCCUAGUUUUUUUAUUAUCUUUGAUCAUUUUGCAUUUCCUCACUUGUAUUCUCGAGAUUUUUAUAUGUUUAUGAGUUAUGUUUAUUUGAGUCCCAACGACAUCCAUCGGUUUUUUUAUAUUUAUCAUCAAGGAGAGGUGAAAUUAUUAUUUAAUGACUAGUAUUUUGUAUAUCACUAGCAUUAUUCUUAAUUUUUUGUGAUUUUGCUUUUUAAUUUGUUUAAUUGGGUGUAGCCAUUAUAUUGUGCCUGAAUUGGUAGUUGACGUGAACUAAUCUUAUGCAUCUUGCAAGGCUAUUCAAGAGUAUAUGAAGGGAAAAUCUCUAAGUUCUCUUCAAAAUAUUAGAUUUCCUGAUUGUGUAAUGUCCUUUUUUUCUUUUUCUUUUAUGCAAUGCAGCUUGGUGUGGAAAAACACAAUGAGAGCUUAUAAACAGAAAGAGAGCUAACAAAAAUUUUAAUUUGUUCCUUUUUCUUUUCCAGCCGUUCAACCUCGAUAAUCAUUACCGAAAUCAUUACUGUGAAAGCCGAAGUUGUGACGAAGCUCCUCAAAAUAGCCGAAAGGUUUUAUUUAUAUUUUUUUUCUCUAUAAAUUUUCCUGAGAUGAUUAAUGGUUUGAAGAGAUGAUUAAUGGUUUGGAAGCAUGAAAUUGGCAAGAAAAACAUGAGAAAAUGGUGGGUUGUAGGGAGAGAGAGCGUAGGUUAUGAGUUUUAGAGAGAGAAGAAGAAACUAAAAAAAGUUAUCAAACACACUUCUGUCUGGAAAUACACUUCCUACUGGAAUAUAUCAGCUAACCGUUAUCAAAUAAACGGUGAACCGUUAUUUUCCAGAGUUAGAAUAAUAUGUUUAUGGAAAUUGUCGGUUCACCAUUAGCUCUUGUUAUUGUCUAGAAUUGUAAACACCGUUAUUGUUUAUCCUUUAGCUCUCGUUAUAAAUUCAAUUGAUACUCCAUUUAUGUAUGGUCUAUUUCAGGAUUUGAACCAUAACAUACAAUUAUAAAAUGGAGUCCACAGAAGCUAGAAGGGGAAGACCUGGUCAGAGAGCAUGGAUACACUUUUUGUAAGUAUAAAAUUAUUGCUUUGAAUAAAGUUCUUAUUAUAACUAUCAAUUAUGUUGACGUAAUUAGCUGAACUAAAAUGUUGUGUACAGUAAGCAUGAAGCAGAAAAGGUCAGGCAAGAAGGGAUAAAAAAAGUUUGUAGGGCGACAAUUGUUGAAAAAUGGAAGAAAUUAACGAAUGAGGAGAAGUGCCGAUUUGGUACAAUGCAUGAGGACCCAAGUUCAAAUGUUGGUGAAAUGAGCAUUGAAAAAACAGAUGAAGAACAAAAAAUUGAGGAUAAGCAUAGCCAAUGUAAUUUAUCUCGUUGUCGUGUCAGUGCAUUCACUAAGGUCGUUUCCACACUGUCGCCCAACCAACAAGCUACAAUUAGAGAAAUUGGCUUCGGAAGCAUGCUAGAAUUACGAUGUGGUCGCCUGAGAUAAGACUUAUGUGAAACACUUGUCCAACAAUGUGAUACAAAGAGGCAUUGUAUAGUUUUACACGGGAGAGAGUUUUGUUUAAACCCUACAACCUUCAGCAUCGUAAUGAGGAUCAAAGAUGGAGGGGAACCAGUAUACAUCCGAGAAGAAGCGGGUGAUAUAAUUGAACUGCGUGCCAAGUAUAGAAUGGGUGGAAGAGGAAUUGAAAUAGCCGCAGUUAGUGAAAGAUUGAUAGCUAGUGAGAGUAGUGAUGAUGACUUCAAGAUCAUGUUUUAUUUGUUUCUUCUAGGGACUGUAUUGUGUCCCACAAGUGCCAGCUCCAUCAAUCCAAUGUAUCUACAUGCCCUAAAAGAUGUGUAGUUAAUGAGGAAAAAGAAUUGGGCUACAUGGUGUUUCAACUUUCUGUGGGAGGGCAUAGCGAAGUAUAAAGAUCAUUAAGUGAAGUCAGUUAGUGGUUGUGUUGUGUUUUUAGAGGUAUAUUUAAGAAAUCUUAGAUGCUAUAAUUAAUUUUCCAAAUACGAAAAAUAAAAUGACGUAGUAAUUGUUUUUUGAAUGAACAGUUGUUCUACUUUAGUGCUGUUUUGUAUGAUCGGUGUUCCAUGGACAGAACAAUUUGCCCUGUUAGUGUAUGGACCAAGGAAGAGAUUCAGCGCUUAUUGAAUUGGCAGAAAAAGUUUGGGGACAUGACAAGUACUGAGGUUUGUUUUAUUUUUUGUCUUGUUCACACAUGUAUUUAAUUUUGUUUACGGUUAAUUGAAUAUAUUUUUAUUGUCAUUAUGUAUGAUUGUUGUGCAUAUUUAUUUUAGGUUCCAAUGCGUGAAUCAAAUUUUCUGCGCUCGAAAGAAAUUUCCCUCAUUUUGAACAAACCGAAGAUGCUGGGCCGAGCACUGUUAAUAUGGAGGGAGCUUUUAGGGUACUCACACAGUGUGUCCACAGAAUUGAACACAAAAUAGAUUUGUUCAAUGUGAGAAUGGAAAUGGUUGAGAAGUCUUUGGAGGAAUUGAGAUCCAAGUCUCCGGUUGGUGCACCAUCAAAACAACCAUCUGAUCCAUGCCCGCCAUCUCCGAGCUUGAAAAUAGUAGAACCAACAUGUCCAGUCAGAAAAACCGAGCCAACCACUGAUGGAAAAAACAAAAUGGUAAUGGAUAGCGACGAGGACUCUGUGGAUCGCAGAUUGAACCUGAGCCUCGAUAAAAUAAUGGGCUGGAUGGGGACAAGAGAAGGAAUCGGUGAAUUUCGCAAAGAUCUUACCCAUUUUGUCCCUAUUCCACCACCUAAUCUUCGAGAUGAGGUACAGUUUUAUAACGUCUUUUUCUUAAAAUUAUUUCAAUGAUAACUCACUUAUGAAGUAACUUACAUAUAAAUUUAUUUUUUAUAAAGGCUUACUGGACGAAACCGGAUAACCGGUUGUGAAAUCCGGUUAUCCAGAUUCGAAGGACAAGCUUGUUGUCCACAACCGGAUAACCGGUUGUGAAAUCCGGUUAUCCGGCUUCGAGGGACAUGUAAACCCAAUUGAAACAGCUUACUGGACGCAACCGGAUAGCCGGUUAUGAAAAUCGAAAAUUUGGAUUCGCGUGGCCAGGUCACUGCCAACAACCGGUAAGCUGGUUAGGAAUUUCUGGAAAUCCGAAUUCGCGUGGCUAGGUCACUGCCAACAAUCGGUAAGCCGGUUAGGAAUUUCUGAAAAUCCGGAUUCGCGUGGCUUGGUCACUGCCAACAACCGGUUAGCUGGUUAGGAAUUUCCAGAAAUCCGGAUUCGCGAGUUUAUAUAUUGUUCAUCUCCUCAUUUAUCUUUCAGUAAACCGGAUAGCUUUCUCUCUCUAUAACCGAUUAUUCCUAUCUCAUUUUCUCUCCAAAGUCCAUCAUUUUCACAUGUUUUUUUGUAAAUGGAUCCAUGGAACUUAUUUCCCAUCCGUUCUUGUAUCCAAAAUCAUCCUUCAAACCCUUUUUCAACCUCAAAAUCAAUAGAUCCGAAAUCCAUUCUAGGGUUUAAGCCGAAACUUCUCUCUCUAGAUUUCUCCCUCUGAAGCCAUUUUUUAUCGAAAUUGCUUCUUAAAAUCUCUUUCCAUUCUUAUUAUCUCCCUUCUCAUUGAUUUAUUUCACUUCAAAUUAAUCAAACUCACCAUGUCAAGCUCACGGCCGGUUCGAAGAAAAGGCAAAGAACCAGUUCAACAUACCAACCGGUCACGACAAGCAGGGGGCACAUCCAAUCAAGCCAACUUUGAGGCCACACACAUUCAGAACCACAAACAUCUAGCCAAACAAUUUCACCAAUAGUUCAUGACUCGUGAGGUACUCCAAACCUUUUUUGUUUUACCGGAUUGGUUGAAUAAUCUUAGUAUUAGCAAUAGAACUUUAUUGCAAUUGUUGGAAGAUGUUGGUUGGCUUAAUGCAAUUGUUUUUUAAGAAAAUGUAUAUCCUGACUUGGUGAAAGUGUUUUACUCGAAUAUGGAUUGUUCCGCGGAGAAAGAGAAUCAAGUAAUCACCACAGUUGGAAGAGUUUCGAUUGAGUUUGAUGAUUCAGAGUUGAACUCUAUCCUAGGAACUUCCGAUGAUGGCUUAGAAAUUUUUUUACCUAAGAAACCGCCUGAUAUUGAUGACUAUGUUCAUAUUGAUGCUGUUAAGAAUAUAUGUCGUCGUAUUGACCUUUCGGAUGACGAUUGUACUAUCAAUUUUCGCACCUGAUGUCUUUGUCUUCAAACUCGGAUAUUACUUCGUUUUAUUCAGAGUAUUGUGCUUCCUAGAUCAGGCCAUUUGGAUGAGGUUUCUCAUAUGGAUGUUGCCUUGAUUGAUUGUAUUCUUAGACAUCGUCCAGUCGACUUAGGAUACACCAUUAUCCGAAACAUGCUUAGUAUACCUAAGUUGAUUACUCGUUCCCUUCCGUAUGGUCAUUUCAUCACCCGAAUCCUCAAAUACUUUAGCGUCCCUAUCCAAGAACCAUCAUGUAGGCCAUCUAAGAGCAUUGGAGAUGAGGCUGUUAGUUCUUUAGGUUUUGAGUGUCGUAAUGACACUUGGGUGAAAGUCGCUGAUAAUAAGUUCACAUUUCUUGCUCCAAGUGAUGAUCGGCCACUUAAUGCUGUGGUUCCAGCCUAUCAGCUGCCUGAUUUUUCGCUUUCAUUUCAGGGUCAGCGUAGAGGUCGAGCUCCUUCAGUGUCUCCCUCAGCUCCUGCACCUACUUUACCACAUCCCGAGCCUCCUACUUCUGAAGAAGUUACUCUUCAGCAGCUUAUGGAUGAGGUGAGGACACUCUCUGUGCGGCAGACUGAGUUUCACCAGCAGGAGCGGCUUAUUCAUGGACAACGCCUCCUCUUUAAGCACUUCGGCAUUCCAUAUCCGUAUCCACCUCCAUCACCACCAUCCUCACCACCUCAGUAGUAUCUUAUACUUGUAUUUGGACACACUUACAUUUCAUUAUGAUUUUGGAUUAUGUAUUUGUUUUGAAUGAUAUGGAUUUGUUUUGAUUGUUUGAUAUUUCAUGGAUAAAUUAUUGUUUUGAAUUUCGAAUUUAGACCUAUUUGAAAAUAUCUAAAUGUUUUCGGUCAUUCUAUAAUUUAUGAUAUUUUGGAUCAUAUCUUAAUUUCAGAAAGUUUUGGCUUUAAUAAAGUAAUAAUUAGAAUUUCUGAAAUUGGACCUAUAUGAAAAAUUUUAUAACGCUUUGGGUCAUAACAUAGUUUCAUAUAGUUUUGAGGUCAAACUGUAUUUUAAAAACAUAAUUCAUUGUAACACUUCACGUGGAAUAUACAACUUAUCACGUCAAGUUGGCAACAUGGACGUCAAACAUGAAACGGCCAAGAAUAAUCGAGAAUUUUGGCUUUAUCCAAAACAUGCAACAUUGUAGGUCAAACAUGAAAUCCUACUGUCAGACAUACAACAACUGACGUUAAACAUGAAACUUGCAACACUUCACGUGAAAUAAACGACUUAUCACGUAAAGUUCGCAACAUGGACGUCAAACAUGAAACAGGCGAGAAUAUUCUUUAUUUUGGCUUUAUUGAAGACAUGCAACCUCUAACGUAAAACAUGCAACCGUUACGUCGGACAUGCAACAACUAUCGUUAAACAUGAAACUUACAACACUUCACGUGUAAUAUACGACUUAUCACGUAAAGUUUUCAACUUCGACGUCAAACAUGAAACAAACGAGAAUAUUUCGGAAUAUUCUUUAUUUUGGAUGUAUUCAAUACAUGCAACAUCUUCCGUCAAACAUGAAAUCCAACCGUCGAAUAUGCAACAAUUAACGUUAAACAUGAAACUUGCAACACUUCACGCGAAAUAUGCAACUUAUCACGUAAAGUUCGCAACAUGGACGUUAAAUAUGAAACGGGCGAGAAUAUUCUAGAAUAUUCUUUAUUUUGGCUUUAUUCAAGACAUGCAACCUCUAACAUAAAACAUGCAACCGUUACGUCGGACAUGCAACGGCGGACGUUAAACAUGAAACUUGCAACACUUCACGUGAAAUAUACGACUUAUCACGUAAAGUUCGCAACAUGGACGUCAAACAUGAAACGGCCAAGAAUAAUCGAGAAUUUUGGCUUUAUCCAAAACAUGCAACAUCGUACGUCAAACAUGAAAUCCUACCGUCAGACAUGCAACAACUGACGUUAAACAUGAAACUUGCAACACUUCACGUGAAAUAUACGACUUAUCACGUAAAGUUCGUAACAUGGACGUCAAACAUGAAACGAGCGAGAAUAUUCGAGAAUAUUCUUUAUUUUGGCUUUAUUGAAGACAUGCAACCUCUAACGUAAAACAUGCAACCGUUACGUCGAACAUGCAACAACUAUCGUUAAACAUGAAACUUGCAACACUUCACGUGUAAUAUACGACUUAUCACGUAAAGUUCGCAACUUCGACGUCAAACAUGAAACAUACAAGAAUAUUUCGGAAUAUUCUUUAUUUUGGUUGUAUUCAAUACAUGCAACAUCUUCCGUCAAACAUGAAAUCCAACCGUCGAAUAUGCAACAACUAACGUUAAACAUGAAACUUGCAACACUUCACGCGAAAUAUGCAACUUAUCACGUAAAGUUCGCAACAUGGACGUUAAACAUGAAACGGGCGAGAAUAUUCGAGAAUAUUCUUUAUUUUGACUUUAUUCAAGACAUGCAACCUCUAACGUAAAACAUGCAACCGUUACGUCGGACAUGCAACAACUAACGUUAAACAUGAAACUUGCAACACUUCAUGUGAAAUAUACGACUUACCACGUAAAGUUCGCAACAUGGAACGUUAAACAUGAAACGGGCGAGAAUAUUCGAGAAUAUUCUUUAUUUUGGCUUUAUUCAAGACAUGAAACCUUUAACGUAAAACAUGCAACCGUUACGUCGGACAUGCAACAACGGACGUUAAACAUGAAACAUGAAACUUGCAACACUUCACGUGAAAUAUACGACUUAUCAUGUAAAGUUCGCAACAUGGACGUCAAACAUGAAACGAGCGAGAAUAUUCGAGAAUAUUAUUUAUUUUGGCUUUAUUCAAGACAUGCAACUUCUAACGUAAAACAUGCAACCGUUACGUCGGACAUGCAACAACGGACGUUAAACAUGAAACUUGCAACACUUCACGUGAAAUAUACGACUUAUCACGUAAACUUCGUAACAUGAACGUCAAACAUGAAACGGGCGAGAAUAUUCGAGAAUAUUCUUUAUUUUGGCUUUAUUCAAGAUAUGCAACUUCUAACGUAAAACAUGCAACCGUUACAUUGGACAUGCAACAACUGACGUUAAACAUGGAACUUGCAACACUUCACGCAAAAUAUGCAAUUUAUAACGUUAAGUUCGCAACUUCAACGUCAAACAUGAAACGGACGAGAAUAUUCCGGAAUAUUCUUUAUUUUAGAUUUAUUCAACACAUGCAACAUCAUACGUCAAACAUGAAAUCCGACCGUCGAAUAUGAAACAACUGACGUUAAACAUGAAACUUACAACACUUCACGCGAAAUAUGAAACGUAUCACGUAAAGUUCGCAAUUUCGACGUCAAACAUGAAACGGACGAGAAUAUUCCGAAAUAUUCUUUAUUUUGGCUUUAUUCAACACAUGCAACAUCUUACGUCAAACGUGCAAUCAAUACGUCGGAGAUGCAACAACUGACGUUAAACCUGAAAUACUAUUUUUUUCAUUUUCAAUUUCUUUAUUUUUUGCCAUUUUAUUUAAUUAUAUUAUAUUGUAUUAUAGGGUUUCUAUUAUAUUAUUUAAUUUUUUUAUCUUUUGCUAUUAAUUAUAUUAUAAAAAACUAUUUUUGACAUUUUAUUUAAUUUUUCAUUUUUAUAUUGUAUUUUUAAUAUAUUUUUUAAAAAAAAUAUGGUGCAACCGGUUUGUUAACCGGCUGCACCAAGUCUUUGGCUGCCAAAUGGCAGCCAAAGACAGCCUGGCUCUCUUUUUGAGAGCCCGGCAUGGUGCCGGGUACAAUGCCAAUGGCACUGUAGCCAAACCCUAAUAGAAUUUCGGGUUUGGCUACAAUGUCGUUGGCAUUGUAGCCGGCACCAUGCCGGGCUCUCAAAAAGAGAGCCAGGCUGUCUUUGGCUGCCAUUUGGUAGCCAAAGACUUGGUGCAGCCGGUUAACAAACCGGUUGCACCUUUUUUUAAAAAAAAAAAUAAAUAUUAAAAAUACAAUAUAAAAAUGAAAAAAUUAAAUAAAAUGUCAAAAAAAUAGUAUUUUAUAAUAUAAUUAAUAGCAAAAGAUAAAGAAAUUGAAUAAUAUAAUACAAUAUAAUAUAAUUAAAUAAAAUGUCAAAAAAUAAAGAAAUUGAAAAUGAAAAAAAUAGUAUUUCAUGUUUAACGUCAGUUGUUGCAUGUCGGACGUCCCGGUUGCAUGUUUGACGUUAGAUGUUGCAUGUUUUGGAUAAUGACAAAAUAAAGAAUAUUCUCGAAUAUUCUCGCCCGUUUCAUAUUUGACAUCCAAGUUGCGAACUUAACGUGAUAAGUUGUAUAUUUCACGUGAAGUGUUGCAAGUUUCAUGUUUAACAUCAGUUGUUGCAUGUCGGACGUCCCGGUUGCAUGUUUGACGUUAGAUGUUGCAUGUUUUGGAUAAUGCCAAAAUAAAGAAUAUUCUUGAAUAUUCUCGCCCGUUUCAUAUUUGACGUCCAAGUUGCGAACUUAACGUGAUAAGUUAUAUAUUUCACGUGAACUGUUGCAAGUUUCAUAUUUAACAUCAGUUGUUGCAUGCCGGAUGUUCUGCUUGCAUGUUUGAAGUUAGAUGUUGCAUGUUUUGAAUAAAGCCAAAAUAAAGAAUAUUCUCGAAUAUUCUCGCUCGUUUCAUGUUUGACGUCAAAGUUACGAAGUUUACGUGAUAAGUUGUAUAUUUCACGUGCAGUGUUGCAAGUUGAAUGUUGAACGUCUGUUGUUGCAUGUCCGACGUCCCACUUGCAUGUUUGACGUUAGAUGUUGCAUGUUGAACGUAAAGCCAAAAUAAAGAAUAUUCUCGAAUAUUCUCGUUCGUUUCAUGUUUGACGUCGAAGUUGUAAACGUUUCGUGAUAAGUUGUUUAUUUCACGUGCAGUGUUGCAAGUUGCAUGUUUAACGUCCGUUGUUACAUGUCCGAUGUCCCGCUUGCAUGUUUGACGUUAGAUGUUACAUGUUUUGGAUAAAGCCAAAAUAAAGAAUAUUCUCGAAUAUUCUCGCUCAUUUCAUGUUUGACGUCCAAGUUGCGAACUUUACAUGAUAAGUUAUAUAUUUCACGUGAACUGUUGCAAGUUUCAUAUUUAACGUCUGUUGUUGCAUGUCGGAUGUUCUGCUUGCAUGUUAGACGUUAGAUGUUGCAUGUUUUGAAUAAAGCCAAAAUAAAGAAUAUUCUCGAAUAUUCUCGCUCGUUUCAUGUUUGACGUCAACGUUACGAAGUUUACGUGAUAAGCUGUAUAUUUCACGUGCAGUGUUGCAGGUUGCAUGUUGAACGUUUGUUGUUGCAUGUCCGACGUCCCGCUUGCAUGUUUGACGUUAGAUGUUGCAUGUUGAACAUAAAGCCAAAAUAAAGAAUAUUCUCGAAUAUUCUUGUUCGUUUCAUGUUUGACGUCGAAGUUGUAAACUUUUCGUGAUAAGUUGUAUAUUUCACGUGCAGUGUUGUAAGUUGCAUGUUUAACGUCCGUUGUUACAUGUUCGACGUCCCGCUUGCAUGUUUGACGUUAGAUGUUGCAUGUUUUGGAUAAAGCCAAAAUAAAGAAUAUUCUCGAAUAUUCUCGUCCGUUUUAUGUUUGAUAUCUAAGUUGCAUACUUUACGUGAAAGGUUGCAUAUUUGACGUGAUAUGUUGUAGGUUUCAUGUUUAACAUCAAUUGUUGCAUGUUAGACGUCACGGUUGCAUAUUUCAGGUUAAAUGAUGCAUGUUUUGAAUAAAGGCAAAAUAAAGAAUAUUCCCGAAUAUUCUGGCCCGUUGCAUGUUUGACGUCUAAGUUGCAUACUUUACAUGUUAAGUUGCAUAUUUGACGUGAAAUGUUGUAGGUUUCAUGUUUAACGCCAGUUGUUGCAUGUUUGACGCUAGAAGUUACAUGUCCUGAAUAAAGUUAAAAUAAAGAAUAUUCCCGAAUAUUCUCACCCGUUUCAUGUUUGAUGUCAAAGUUGCAUACUUUACGUGAUAAAUUGUAUAUUUAACGUGACUUGUUGCGGGUUUCAUGUUUUACGUCUAUUGUUGCAUGUUGGACAUCGCAGUUGCGUGUUUGGCGUUAGAUGUUGCAUGUCUUGAAUAAAGCCAAAAUAAAGAAUAUUUCUGAAUAUUCUCGCCCGUUUCAUGUUUGACGUCAAAGUUGCAUACUUUACGUGAUAAAUUGCAUAUUUAACAUGACUUGUUGCGGGUUCAUGUUUUACGUCUAUUGUUGCAUGUUGGACGUCGCGGUUGUAUGUUUGACGUUAGAUGUUGCAUGUCUUGAAUAAAGCCAAAAUAAAGAAUAUUUCUGAAUAUUCUCGCUUGUUUUAUGUUUGACAUCAAAGUUGCAUACUUUACGUGAUAGGUUGCAUGUUUGACGUAAAAUAUUAUAGGUUUAUAUAAAAUAACUAAUUAUAAAAUGAGAGUGCAUUUCAAAAUUCCUUGACAAAUCAAGUGAUAAUUUAUAACUAAACUUAUUUUUUCAAAUUUUUUAUUAUUAAUUAAGCCAAUCUAUUAAGAAACAAAUGAAAAUUAAAUUAAAUUCAACUUUUACCUAAUAAAUAUAUUUAGGAAUAUAUCUAAUUAAACUGGUACACAAAUUACAAAUGUUUUCAUGAAAUUACAUAUAUAAGUUUAAUAGUCUCACUAUUUUUUACAUGAUUGAUAAAAUGAUGGCUUUGGAAAGAACUUGUGAUAUGAAAAGAAAAAUCUAGUUAAUUAUAAUAAAAUUACAUAUCUAAUCCAACCUUUUUUCCUUAUUUUAGUCAGAUAAUAGUUUUGAAAAUAAUUUGAUAAUUCAAGUGAUAAUGUCUAUUCUUAUUUGUUGUAUAAUAUUUUUUUAGGUGCAUUUCAUUUCAUUUUUAUUUUUUUAGAGAAUCUAAUCAUGGUGGAUAUUUUAAAUUACUAAGUCAUGAAAAUUUUGAAUUCAAUUGAAAUUUACAAUCUUUUAUGAAUGAAAAUAUACAGCAAGACAAAAAAAUUGAGAUAAAAAGAAAAUGUGGUAGAAAGAAAAGGCAACAUCAAUAUGAUCAUUUUCUAAGAAAAAUUAAGGCAAAAUCUUCCAAGUAAUAUGGUCAAUUUCAAUAAAAUUACAACUUACUAGAGUAUAUCCAUCUACUAAACAUCCAAAGUUCACAACAUAAUUUUUGAAUAUCACCAAUAACAUCCCCAGUCCUAAAGAUUGCAACAAAUUCAUGUAACAUUUGAGAGUAUUGUUUGGGGGUAAAAACAUCGUGACCAGGUACGCAUAAGUAGAAUGCGCACCCCUCAGUCGGCCUAAGGCGACUCCUUGAGGAAAGUCUUCCCCGACGAGUUGAGCAUUGGAGGGUUUAUGUUAGAAAAUCCUCCGACAUCCCCUGACUAGUUGUUAUGAACGCAAGCAUCCUUGGAGAAAGAGCUUGAGGUCCCAAGAGCCUAUUCGAUAAGAAAGAUAGAAGUACAAACCGACUCCCCAACAACUACUAAUUUAAGUGUUGGCGUGGUUGUCUGGUCGCUUCACAACUCGACCAGAAUUCAACAUCAACAGAUAUUUUAGAAUCUAGUGUAUCUUCAAUAAUUUUGGAUUAAAUUGUAUGACACUUUUUUCUUUCUUUUUUUUUUGUGAAAACAAAUUUUAGUACACUUAUUUUAAAAGAAAUUUGUUAAUGAAAAACAAAAUAAUGACAAUGAAGAGCACUCAUUUAUAAAAAUAAGCUACAAAUAGGAAAACAAAAUUCAUAUAAGUAGAAUCUCCCAAAAAAUAAAAGCAUUGUCAAAUUGAGUUACAAACUAAUAAUAAUUUCAUCAAAGUUUGUAAACUAAAGAUUGUCCUAAUAUCAAAAAGUUUCCAAUAAAACACUUAUGCCAGAUAAUUUAUAGAACCUAGUAAUAUCCAACUGAAUUCUCCCCUGCAAAUAAUUAAAAUUUUCAAGUUAGUCAAUAAGAAAAAACAGCCAUCAAUCAUAAUAAGAAGCAACAACAAAUUACACUAAAAAAAUAGCAGAAAAAAGCACCAAAACAACAAAUAUAAACAAGAAACAACAAUAAAAAAAAAACCCAAAAAUGGCAAAAAGAGAUGCUCAAAGCAGCAAUAAAUUUAUAAAAAAUACCCUAAAAUAGCAAGAAAACUACCUAAAACCAGAAAAAAAAAAUCUAAAAUAGCAGCAAAAUCUUCCAUUGCCAGAUAAAGCUAUGAAAGAAAAGAAAUAAAAUUCAUAAAGAGUCAAAGCUAACAUACUGACCACUUGCUAGAAAUUAAGCUAUAAAUCCCAAAUUUUUACACAAAUUAAUAUCUGAAACAAGAUUGGUUUGAUAUAUGAUAGUCAAGUAAAAUACCUAUAAAGUAGUACAAAAUCAGCAAACCUAAUGGCUUCACUCCACUCAUUUUCUUAAGACUCCAGUGAUGAGAAGCUGCCAACAGAAUGAUAAAUUGAGGUUUGACAGGAAGCACACAAACUAAACAAGAUACAUAACAACUUUGUUAUCCAUGUUACACCCUAGAACCAUUUCUAGGAAUAUUUGUUAGAAUAGCCACCAUAACAGUUGAUGAGCAACAUAAAACAGAGACAACAACAAAACCAGCAACCUGCAAAGUGCCAAUUCUUCCAUAAUUAAAUCAGAUAGACAAUAGAAAUAAUUUACUAUUAAAAUCCCAAAUUCAUUUUAUCUUCUUCCUGCAUUUUCUCAUCAAUCAAACAUAAAAGAGAGCUCCUAUCGACAUAUGCAAACAGCACCCACCAUCUUGUCACAUUCAAACACAACCCAAGAUCACAAAAGUUAAUUUUCCAGAUUUAGUUAACCAAAGAAAAUAUACCAUCAAUUGGAUCACCUUAUAAAUCAAAUACAAUUACACGAUAUUACCAACCUCCCAAAAAAAAAAGGCACAAACUUUAAAAUGAAAACAACACCACCAUGAAAAAUAAGCAAAAGUGGGUAUUUGAAUCAAACAUGAUAGAAUGCAACAAAAGCAAAAAAGCUUUCCAUAGAAGCCAGAGCCAGAUUGGGUACAAGCAAGCUAGGAUGUACCAAUUAAAGAUGCUUCAUUCAAGAACAGAAAAGCUACCAGAAUGAUAAAAGUAGAAAAAAUGAAACAAUAAAUAGAAAAUUGGGUGAAGCUGCAACAAUAGUUUCAAUCACUUAACAGUACCAGCAAACUUAUAGUCAACUUUAAGAACUAGAUGUUUAAGCCACAGAUAACGGGGACGUACCCAUGAGGAUAAAGACACAAGCGUGAGACCAGCAAAGCCGCCCAUCCUUAACUUGUGCAGCAGACAAAGUCGAAUGAAAAAGGAGGCAACGACGGUAGCGACGGAAACGGCUGGAUCGGAAGCGAACAGCUCAAGAUGAAAGCAACAAGUUAAUGGAUUGGAUUGUGUGCGCGUGAUGUGGCUUCGUUUUUAUUUGGUUAGUCAAGAAAUCGAAGAGAGAAAUUUGUGAUUUCUGAGAGAGAGGCAAGAAAUUGAGAGAGAUUGGGCGCGGUUGAAACACCUAAAUUAUUAAAAUAUAAAUUUUGCAGCGUUUGGGAACUGGUUGCUUCGGUUGCCCUUUUUUUGUUUUUUUAUUUCUUUUCAAUGUCAGCCGUUGGAUUCAUUUUACUUGAAUCCAACGACUGCAUUUACAAGCCAGCACAAUGCCGGGCCUCAAUGCCCGGCAUUGUAGCUUUAGCCUAUUAUUUCAAUAUGUAGUUUAUUCAAGUUUUCAAGUUUUGUUUUUAAAUUCACACCCCUCUCUCUCAUUCUUCUCUCUCUGUGUGUUUGCUGAACUCUCAAUGGCGAGCAACGUUCAGCACCUCACCCAAACAAUCCGACUCUCUUUCCCAUCUCUUCACAAUUUCAAAGCUUCUGAUGCUUUUACGAAUAAGAGUUUAAUUACCACAUUUCCAGUACGUUUCUCUUUUCACAGCUCAGCAAAAUUAACUACUUCUAUUCGCUCUUUACCAGUCGCUACCGCUAGCAUUAGCUACAGAAGCAGCUGUACCUUCACUUGGGACGACGUCGUUCGAGUUUCUCAACCAGAAUACUCCCCUGACGAUUCUUCCGAUCUCCGUGGCUACUUCGAGAAAAUCAAAAUCUGCAAUCGUGGCUCAGUUACUAUUUCAAAUUCCUCAUCAAACAAAUAAAUUUUGCAACCUUUAUUUUGCUGCACUUAAUUCAUUUUCUUAUCUUUUAAUUAUUAUUAUUUUUAAGGAAAUGCAAUCCGAGUUUUUUCCUUUUAUCAUCGAGGACCAAGUUGUUGGUUACACACAUAAUCGGUACAAUUUCUUUAUCCUCAUAAUAGAAAAUAGAUUAUGUCUAUUUAUUCCUGUUAGGGAUUUUAAAUUCUGAACAAUUCUUUUUUUCUUUUUUGAUUCAUUUUUGAAUCUAAGCAGUUUCGCUAGCCGCCUGAGGAAAUACGACGACGUAUUCAUAUACUCUGAAAACAACGGAGGUCGAUUUGGCAGUCACCUGAAGUUAAAUUCAAAGCUGAAAACAGCCGAUGAGAGGACGAGAGUUGUUGGAGAAGUGAUUAAAUGCUUGGCCGAAGAAGAAUUGAUUCCAGGUAUACGGAAUGAGGUACUGCUAGCUUUACUUUUGAUGUUUAUAUAGGAACUGAAUCGAUUCUCUUUCACUUUUGAAUAUAUGCUUCGUGCUUGUGACUAUGUCCAUAUGAUGUGUAAUUUGCAAUUGAUUUUUUUGAGAUUGAUUCAUUUUGGAUUUCAUUGGUUUAUAAUCAGCUCUAUCCUGUAACAUCAACCUUUGGUUCUCCGAUCUUUUUCUCGCUGGAACGUGCCGCUGCUCCUUACUUUGGAAUAAAGGUGAGUUCAUGACUUUUGCUUUGCAUCAAGGAUACUUGUGCAUAAAGUUAGAGAUACAAUAAGUUAGUGAUCAUGAGAUGUUUAUUGCAGAUAUGAUCACAUGAAACAGUUGUCUUGUUAAGUGUCUAUGUUUGGAUCUAGUCACCAUCGAACUUUGUCUAUUUUAUUACUUUGUAUAUUACUUUGCUUUCUGGUAAUAGACUGAAUUAUAAUUUACUUGGCUAUUGAUGGUUAUAUUGCUGUUCCUUUCUUCCUGAAUUUGAAAAUAGGCUUAUGGAGUUCACAUGAAUGGUUAUGUUGAAAAAGACGGGCGAAAAUUUCUAUGGAUUGGAAAACGAAGUCAAGUCAAACCUACUUAUCCAGGGAUGCUUGAUCAUCUAGUUGCUGGAGGAUUGGUAUGUAAUAAUAACCUUUCAUUGCUUUUCUUUGGUUGAUAGUAUUGGAUUCUUCUUUUGAAUUGCAUUGAGUUUACUUUUGUUUUGAAAAAAAGGACAGUCGUCAGCUGAUUCUCCUAAGCCCUUUUUGUGAUCGGAAAAAAGUGCCAAACAUGUAUUGCAUGAGUAGGGCACAGCUGGAUCCUCAUAUACUUGAAAUUCACUGAUGACCUUCAUUUGAAAUUGGAAUAGGUUGCUUACUAAAAAAUAGAUUAAUAAGGUUUUUCUUCAGCAGUGGACUCCAAUAUGACUGCAGUUGAUUAUUGUAACAAGAUUGACUUCUGAAGUGCUACUAAGGCUUAAGAAUCAAUUAGUCCUUGGAAAUUCUCAAAAUAGUAGGAAGAAGGCACAACAUUAUCCAAUGGCUGUUUGUCAUUCUGUGGUAGCAUAAAAGAAUAAGAGGGAAGAGGCAAAAGGUCAUUCUGAAAAAUGCCAUUUCUAUGGUGCCAUUUGUAAAACAUGCAAGCAAAAACGUAGGGGGCAAGAGAAACUUUGCGGACAUUUGUUUCUGUUAUUUUUCGGUUGGACUGAUUUAUCUCUUUACUAGUUAUAUAUGUUUUCAAGUUUAAACUUAGUGGUUUGGGCAGCUGGCAAAUAUUUGUCCAUGUUAGUCUGUAAUGAGAAAAUGAUCUUGAAAAGCCUUUAGUGAACCAUGGAAACUUGAGCUCAGAACAAAUAUCACUUGGGCAACAAACCCUGUGCAAUUGGAAAACAAUAGGUGUUCUUCCUUGUUGCAAUACUUGGAGAUUCCAGUUCAGUUACUGCAAUUGGAGAAAGAAUUUAUAUUAAUGAAAACUAUGGAUUCAUUUCAUUUAAAAAUGUUUUCUCUAAUCUUUAUGCUCAGUUAUCUGAACCAACGCUUCAUCUAUAUAAUCGUGAUGGUGAUUGCAG